GAUGAACGCUGGCGGCGUGCUUAACACAUGCAAGUCGAACGGAAAGGCUCCUGCUUGCAGGGGUACUCGAGUGGCGAACGUGUGUGUAACACGUGGGGGAUCUUCCCUGCACUUCGGGAUACGCCUGGGAAACUGGGUCUAAUACCGGACAGGACGAUGGUUUGGAUGCCAUUGUGGAAAGGUUUUCGGUGUGGGAUGAGCUCGCGGCCUAUCAGCUUGUUGGUGGGGUAAUGGCCUACCAAGGCGUCGAGGGGUAGCCGGCCUGAGAGGGUGAACGGCCACAUUGGGACUGAAAUACGGCCCAGCCUCCUACGGGAGGGAGCAGUGGGGAAGAUUGCAUAAUGGGCGCAAGCCUGAUGCAGCGAAGCCGCGUGGGGGAUGACGGCCUGCGGGUUGUAAACUACUUUCGUCAGGGAAGAAGCGAAAGUGACGGUACCUGGAGAAGAAGCACCGGCUAACUACGUG
rnacentral:rRNA from 1 species